rnacentral:lncRNA from 1 species
ACAAGUGUGCUCCCUUCAGAAAUACAGUCCUUGGAGUAGGAGGCUAACAGAGCUAAGGUGAAGGAUCUAAAACCUGAAAAGAGGCCAAAUGAUUCCUCAAAACCACGCAAGUACGAAGUAGCAGAGCGGAUCUCAAAUCCAGAUUGUCUACUUCCCCUCCUAGACUGUACUCUCCACAAGAGAGCAAAGCUGUGUCUGUUGCAUUCACUGUUGUCUUCCCAGAAGCAAGCAGCAUGCUGGAGACCCUCAAAUACAUGUGAAAUGAAGGGACACCUUGUGUUAUUUCACCUGUUUCCACCUGGUUCCCAAGUGGCAAGCUUGCAUUGAGGUUACAAAGUGGCAAAGCUGGGAUAUCACAUGAUGUCACCAUGAUGCUAUAUGAAAUGUAACAUUAAUUGAGUACCUAUGUGACCAGUUCUUUAAUUCUGUAAGUGAACUCUCAAAAAACCCUAGACACAGAGGGAUUGAAAUGCAUAACAAUAGAGAUGAAACACGAAGAGUGAUAAAUGAAGAUUGAGUGUGCACACCUUCUGGAGGAGCCCUGAUUGAGUAUUUUAAAAUACUACUAAAGUCAUGCCGUGUGACUUCUGAAGCUAGCUCCUAAGAAGUCCUUGCAGCUUCUGCCUGCGACUCUUAGAACACUUGCUUUGAAGGAUGCCAGAUGCUGUCUUAAAAGUCUGAGCACUCUGAAACCAUCAUGCUGUGAGGAAGCCCAAGCUAACCACAUGGGCAAAAAAGAUGCCCUCUGACUGCCACCAUUUGAGACACUCUAAUUAAGAACUGCCUCAUUGAGCCCAUGAGGCCCUGUGAAUGAUAAUAAUAAAUUGUUUUUAACCACUA